rnacentral:rRNA from 1 species
UACGUAGGGUGCGAGCGUUGUCCGGAAUUAUUGGGCGUAAAGAGCUCGUAGGCGGUCUGUCGCGUCUGCUGUGAAAACUCGGGGGCUUAACCCCCGGGCCUGCAGUGGGUACGGGCAGACUAGAGGUAUUCAGGGGAGAACGGAAUUCCUGGUGUAGCGGUGAAAUGCGCAGAUAUCAGGAGGAACACCGGUGGCGAAGGCGGUUCUCUGGGAAUGACCUGACGCUGAGGAGCGAAAGUGUGGGGAGCGAACAGG